rnacentral:rRNA from 1 species
GUGCCAGCAGCCGCGGUAAUACGUAGGGUGCGAGCGUUGUCCGGAAUUAUUGGGCGUAAAGAGCUCGUAGGCGGUUUGUCGCGUCGGCCGUGAAAACCUGCCGCUUAACGGUGGGCGUGCGGUCGAUACGGGCAGACUUGAGUUCGGUAGGGGAGACUGGAAUUCCUGGUGUAGCGGUGAAAUGCGCAGAUAUCAGGAGGAACACCGGUGGCGAAGGCGGGUCUCUGGGCCGAUACUGACGCUGAGGAGCGAAAGCGUGGGGAGCGAACAGGAUUAGAUACCCUGGUAGUCC